rnacentral:lncRNA from 1 species
CCCAUCCAUGAUUGGCAGGCGAUUACCCCAGGGCAUGGAGACGAGAAGAUCCAGAAGCUCUCGAAGCUAGGAGGAGACUGAAUAUCGAGUCGAGGUAGAGAUUGUUAGAAUUUGAUGCCUCAAGAUUCGAUCUACAUUGAGCCCACAGUGAGGUCCGUGAUGAAAAAUAGAGUCCAACGAGAAUAAGAUCACCCCAAAUAG